ensembl:lncRNA
CUUUCCGAGAUACUAUUUAAGUAAAAUUUACUUAAAAGACUAACAAGGGGAUUACAAUGAUUCUUGACUGUGGCCAUUUUGAAUUUUCAGUUCAACGGGUGACAAGACUGCAUUUUUCUGAACUGCUAUCAACAAAAGGCACUGAAAAGGUGUUUGACAUCAGCAUUGAGCUCAUUUAUGACUCUGGUGUUAUGGAUCAACUGGGGAUUCUGUUAACUUGGGAUGUGCGCGUGCAUGUGAGCUAUUUUACAUCCCGUUCCAACAGAUUCGUCAAAUGCGACUGCAAAGCUGUAAUGAAAAGACGUUGGUACAUUCUUAAUCUUCUUUAUAAAUGUUGAAGCAAUUGUUACGCUGUGUCCUUUCAAUGCAUGCAACACAGUUUAAGUGUCAUUUUAACAUGAUUAAAGUGGUGACAUGGUUCACAAACAACGCCCACGUUAUCUUGGCACAUUCACCUCUAUGGAUAUCACUCAAAUAAACGUAUAUUUCAC